AAAUUUGAAAUCUGGCGUAAGCCCGAGUUGUAAUUUGUAGAGGAUGCUUCUGGGUAGCGGCCGGUCUAAGUUCCUUGGAACAGGACGUCAUAGAGGGUGAGAAUCCCGUAUGUGACUGGCUUGCACCCUCCACGUAGCUCCUUCGACGAGUCGAGUUGUUUGGGAAUGCAGCUCUAAAUGGGAGGUAAAUUUCUUCUAAAGCUAAAUACCGGCCAGAGACCGAUAGCGCACAAGUAGAGUGAUCGAAAGAUGAAAAGCACUUUGGAAAGAGAGUUAAAAAGCACGUGAAAUUGUUGAAAGGGAAGCGCCCGCAACCAGACUUUGCGGCGGUGUUCGGCUGGUCUUCUGACCGGUUUACUCGCCGCCGUGAGGCCAUCAUCGUCUGGGACCGCUGGAUAAGACCUGAGGAAUGUAGCUCCCUUCGGGGUGUGUUAUAGCCUCUGGUGAUGCAGCGCGUCUCGGGCGAGGUCCGCGCUUCGGCAAGGAUGAUGGCGUAAUGGUUGUCGGCGGCCCGUCUUGAAACACGGACCAAGGAGUCUAACAUCUAUGCGAGUGUUCGGGUGUCAAACCCCUACGCGUAAUGAAAGUGAACGGAGGUGGGAACUUUUUGUGCACCAUCGACCGAUCCUGAUGUCCUCGGAUGGAUUUGAGUAAGAGCAUAGCUGUUGGGACCCGAAAGAUGGUGAACUAUGCCUGAAUAGGGUGAAGCCAGAGGAAACUCUGG
rnacentral:rRNA from 1 species